rnacentral:rRNA from 1 species
GAUGAACGCUGGCGGCGUGCCUAAUACAUGCCAGUCGAGCGAACGGACGAGAAGCUUGCUCCUCUGAUGUUAGCGGCGGACGGGUGAGUAACACGUGGAUAACCUACCUAUAAGACUGGGAUAACUUCGGGAAACCGGAGCUAAUACCGGAUGAUAUUUUGAACCGCAUGGUUCAAAAGUGAAAGACGGUCUUGCUGUCACUUAUAGAUGGAUCCGCGUUGGAUUAGCUAGUUGGUAAGGUAACGGCUUACCAAGGCAACGAUGCGUAGCCGACCUGAGAGGGUGAUCGGCCACACUGGAACUGAGACACGGUCCAGACUCCUACGGGAGGCAGCAGUGGGGAAUAUUCCGCAAUGGGCGAAAGCCUGACGGAGCAACGCCGCGUGAGUGAUGAAGGUCUUCGGAUCGUAAAACUCUGUUAUUAGGGAAGAACAGAUGUGUAAGUAACUGUGGACGUCUUGACGGUACCUAAUCAGAAAGCCACGGCUAACUACGUG